GAGCUUGCUCCACCGAAAGAAAAAGAGUGGCGAACGGGUGAGUAACACGUGGGUAACCUGCCCAUCAGAAGGGGAUAACACUUGGAAACAGGUGCUAAUACCGUAUAACACUAUUUUCCGCAUGGAAGAAAGUUGAAAGGCGCUUUUGCGUCACUGAUGGAUGGACCCGCGGUGCAUUAGCUAGUUGGUGAGGUAACGGCUCACCAAGGCAACGAUGCAUAGCCGACCUGAGAGGGUGAUCGGCCACACUGGGACUGAGACACGGCCCAGACUCCUACGGGAGGCAGCAGUAGGGAAUCUUCGGCAAUGGACGAAAGUCUGACCGAGCAACGCCGCGUGAGUGAAGAAGGUUUUCGGAUCGUAAAACUCUGUUGUUAGAGAAGAACAAGGAUGAGAGUAAAAUGUUCAUCCCUUGACGGUAUCUAACCAGAAAGCCACGGCUAACUACGUGCCAGCAGCCGCGGUAAUACG
rnacentral:rRNA from 1 species